rnacentral:rRNA from 1 species
ACUCCUACGGGAGGCAGCAGUGGGGAAUAUUGGACAAUGGGCGCAAGCCUGAUCCAGCCAUGCCGCGUGAGUGAUGAAGGCCCUAGGGUUGUAAAGCUCUUUCACCGGUGAAGAUAAUGACGGUAACCGGAGAAGAAGCCCCGGCUAACUUCGUGCCAGCAGCCGCGGUAAUACGAAGGGGGCUAGCGUUGUUCGGAUUUACUGGGCGUAAAGCGCACGUAGGCGGACUAUUAAGUCAGGGGUGAAAUCCCGGGGCUCAACCCCGGAACUGCCUUUGAUACUGGUAGUCUUGAGUUCGAGAGAGGUGAGUGGAAUUCCGAGGGUAGAGGUGAAAUUCGUAGAUAUUCGGAGGAACACCAGUGGCGAAGGCGGCUCACUGGCUCGAUACUGACGCUGAGGUGCGAAAGCGUGGGGAGCAAACAGGAUUAGAAACCCCAGUAGUCCCAUGAU